rnacentral:ncRNA from 2 species
GGAAGCCGGUGAAAUUCCGGUGCGGUCGCGCCACUGUGACCAGGAUGAGGAUACCUCAAACUGGAAGUCAGAC